rnacentral:antisense_RNA from 1 species
AUAGAACCAGAGGUCAUUCCCUCUCUCUGCUAAGUACCUGAUUGCCUUGCAAGAAGGAAGAGGUUUUAAAAGUUUUCAAAGCUAACAGGUGUCCAAAGGAGAUUACACCUGCAAAUCAGGUUUAUAAUGUACAACCUGAAACAUUCCAUUGAUGAUAAAUGAACUUAACUGAAACAGAAGCACGUCAUGUUCUUGAACUGUGCCAGCAGAUUUUACAGUUUCUAGAGGAACCACAGAAUUCCUUCUGCUUAAGAAGUCAUUCAGAUAACCUAAACAGGUUACUGAGACUCACCAUGGACAUUGGUACAUGCUGGUUAACUGUAUUGACUUGGAUUUACAAAGUCUCAGGUAUUUCUUCAUAACAGUGUGAUAACGAACUAAUACAGACAGCAUGACAUCAUUGUGUGGAUACACAUUAGCAAGCUUGAAAACUACAGGAAAUAAAACUGGAAAGGAACGGACAUGAGGGAUACAUGUGCACAGAGAAAAGUCCGUGUGAAGACAAAA